rnacentral:rRNA from 1 species
ACAUCGUCAGCGCCUGAGCGUUAGCAUUAAGUGAUCCACCUGGGGAUUACGAUCGCAAGAUUGGAACUCAAAGGAAUUGUACGGGGGCCCGCACAAGCGGAGGAACAUGUGGUUUAAUUCGAUGAUACGCGAGGAACCUUACCUGGGCUUAAAUGCAGAUCGACGUUCCGGGAAACCGGAAUUCCUUCGGGCGAACUGCAAGGUGCUGCAUGGCUGUCGUCAGCUCGUGCCGUGAGGUGUCGGGUUAAGUCCCAUAACGAGCGCAACCCUUAUCGUUAGUUGCCAGCGGCUAAUGCCGGGGACUCUAACGAAACUGCCCCUCCUAAACCGUGAGGAAGGUGGGGAUGACGUCAAGUCAGCACGGCCCUUAUGUCCAGGGCUACACACGUGUUACAAUGGUCGGUACAAAGGGCAGCUACCAGGCGACUGGAUGCUAAUCUCAAAAACCGAUCUCAGUUCGGAUUGAAGUCUGCAACUCGACUUCAUGAAGCUGGAUUCGCUAGUAAUCGCGCAUCACGCCAUGGCGCGGUGAAUACGUUCCCGGGCAUUGUACACACCGCCCGUCAAGCCAUGGAAGCUUGGGGUAC